rnacentral:misc_RNA from 1 species
CUGAGUUCGGGGGCAAUCCCAGUCCCGACCUCCAACCCUUUGUGAACAUAUCUUGUUGCUUCGGGGGCGACCUUGCCGUUCGCGGCAUUCCCCCCGGAGGUCAUCAAAACACUGCAUUAUUACGUCGGAGUUUAAGUAAAUUAAACA